GCAUAGUGUCUGACAUAAAGCAAUUGCCCCAAAAGUGGAGCUAUGAAGACAAAGGAGCAGGUGCAGCACUCUUGUGUCCUUGGAUGGGGCACAGGUGACCUCAGCGCUCUGGACCCAGAUCAUAAGUGCCUUAUGAGGCAACAGAAUGAAAUCUUACCUGGAAUAUGUGAAAUAGAAGCAAGCAGCUGCUGUGAUGGAAGCAGGGCUGGAGCCUCAAGCACUGUCCUCUCCACAGGCCCUCAGCUGCCCUGCACCCCACCCCGGGGAGCUUGUGCUCUCCCUCUCUGGAAGGGUUUGAAAACCCCUGCAAGAGGUGGAGGAAUGGAAGACGUCUGGAAAGGAAGUGGAGCUCACAUCCUGCCUGAGAAUCUGAAUUCCAUGUGACUGAAGAUUUUACAAAAGGAGUGGGAUAGCUAGAGUUGUAUUUUAGAGAUCAUAAUCCGGCAGCCUCUUUCAUAAAUCAGUUGGAGGAGGUUGUGACGGGUCAGGGAAGCCAGUUGACACUGUGCGUGAAUAGGAGUGGAGAAACAAGUUUUGUGGAUUGAUUUAUUUUUUAAAUUAAAUUCUUAUUUGAAAACA